AGAGUUUGAUCAUGGCUCAGGACGAACGCUGGCGGCGUGCUUAACACAUGCAAGUGGAGCGACGAACCAGGGCUUGCCCUGGGGCAGAGCCGCGAACGGGUGAGUAACACGUGGGUAACGUGCCUCGAUGACCGGGACAACCCGAGGAAACUCGGGCUAAUACCGGAUGUGGAUCCUUCUCGUAAGGGAAGUAUCUAAAGGUAGCUUCGGCCUCCGCAUCGAGAGCGGCCCGCGGCCCAUUAGCUUGUUGGUGGGGUAAUGGCCUACCAAGGCUUCGAUGGGUAGCUGGUCUGAGAGGACGAUUAGCCACACUGGGGCUGAGACACGGCCCAGACUCCUACGGGAGGCAGCAGUGGGGAAUCUUGCGCAAUGCGCGAAAGCGUGACGCAGCAACGCCGCGUGGGGGAAGACGGCCUUCGGGUUGUAAACCCCUUUCAGGAGGGACGAAGGUCGGGCCGUUAAUAGCGGUUCCGGCUGACGGUACCUCCAGAAGAAGCCCCGGCUAACUACGUGCCAGCAGCCGCGGUAAUUC
rnacentral:rRNA from 1 species